rnacentral:rRNA from 1 species
GACGAACGCUGGCGGCGUGCUUAACACAUGCAAGUCGAACGGAAAGGCCCUGCUUUUGUGGGGUGCUCGAGUGGCGAACGGGUGAGUAACACGUGAGUAACCUGCCCUUGACUUUGGGAUAACUUCAGGAAACUGGGGCUAAUACCGGAUAGGAGCUCCUGCUGCAUGGUGGGGGUUGGAAAGAUUCGGCGGUUGGGGAUGGACUCGCGGCUUAUCAGCUUGUUGGUGGGGUAGUGGCUUACCAAGGCUUUGACGGGUAGCCGGCCUGGGAGGGUUACCGGCCACAUUGGGACUGAGAUACGGACCAGACUCCUACGGGAGGCAGCAGUCGGGAAUAUUGCACAAUGGGGGGAAGCCUGAUGCAGCAACGCCGCGUGCGGGAUGACGGCCUUCGGGUUGUAAACCGCUUUCGCCUGUGACGAAGCGUGAGUGACGGUAAUGGGUAAAGAAGCACCGGCUAACUACGUG